rnacentral:rRNA from 1 species
UGGGGAAUUUUGGACAAUGGGGGAAACCCUGAUCCAGCCAUCCCGCGUGUGCGAUGAAGGCCUUCGGGUUGUAAAGCACUUUUGGCAGGAAAGAAACGUCGUGGGUUAAUACCCCCGCGAAACUGACGGUACCUGCAGAAUAAGCACCGGCUAACUACGUGCCAGCAGCCGCGGUAAUACGUAGGGUGCAAGCGUUAAUCGGAAUUACUGGGCGUAAAGCGUGCGCAGGCGGUUCGGAAAGAAAGAUGUGAAAUCCCCAGAGCUUAACUUUGGAACUGCAUUUUUAACUACCGGGCUAGAGUGUGUCAGAGGGAGGUGGAAUUCCGCGUGUAGCAGUGAAAUGCGUAGAUAUGCGGAGGAACACCGAUGGCGAAGGCAGCCUCCUGGGAUAACACUGACGCUCAUGCACGAAAGCGUGGGGAGCAAACAGGAUUAGAUACCCUGGUAGUCCACGCCCUAAACGAUGUCAACUAGCUGUUGGGGUCUUCGGACCUUGGUAGCGCAGCUAACGCGUGAAGUUACCGCCUGGGGAGUACGGUCGCAAGAUUAAAACUUAAAUGAAUUG